ensembl:lncRNA
CCCCGGUCUCACUUUGGCCCCGUAGGUCUUUUCCAGCUCGUCGCGGGUAGUGCCGGAUCUGAUCCUCGUGCUGCCGCCGCAGGUCCUGCAGCGCCUCGGCCAAUUUGCUCUCGAAUUCCUGCUGCCGCCCGUUGUCGAUCUCCACCAGGCGCGUCUCGUGCCGCCGUUUGGUCUCCCGCAGCUCCUGGGGAGGGGGGGGGCACACGGUGUCACUUGGGGGGCACACGGGCAUCAUUUGGGGGCACACGGCACCAUUUGAGGGGCACACGGCAUCAUUUGAGGGGCACACAGCAUCAUUUGGGGGGCACACGCAUCAUUUGCAGGGCACAUGGCGCUGCCUGGGGGGCACAUGGCAUCACUUGGGGGGCACAAGGUGCCAUUUGGGGGCACACAGCGUCAUUUAAGGGCACACGGUGUCACUUGGGGGGCAAGUGGCACCACUUGGGGGGCACACGGUGUCAUUUGAGGGGCACAGUGUCACUUGGGGGGCACGUGGCACCACUUGGGGG